AGCGAACGCUGGCGGCAGGCCUAACACAUGCAAGUCGAACGAACUCCUCGGAGUUAGUGGCGGACGGGUGAGUAACACGUGGGAACGUGCCUUUAGGUUCGGAAUAACUCAGGGAAACUUGUGCUAAUACCGAAUGUGCCCUUCGGGGGAAAGAUUUAUCGCCUUUAGAGCGGCCCGCGUCUGAUUAGCCAGUUGGUGAGGUAACGGCUCACCAAGGCGACGAUCAGUAGCUGGUCUGAGAGGAUGACCAGCCACACUGGGACUGAGACACGGCCCAGACUCCUACGGGAGGCAGCAGUGGGGAAUCUUGCGCAAUGGGCGAAAGCCUGACGCAGCCAUGCCGCGUGAAUGAUGAAGGUCUUAGGAUUGUAAAAUUCUUUCACCGGGGACGAUAAUGACGGUACCCGGAGAAGAAGCCCCGGCUAACUUCGUGCCAGCAGCCGCAGUAAUAC
rnacentral:rRNA from 1 species